CGCCCCUGGAAGCAAAAAAAUAAAAUAAAAAAACAAGACAAGCAGGCAUACUGGUAUGUAUACUGUCAGUAUAUGCAGUGGAUGCAUAAAUGUACCUCAAAAUAAUAAUGACAAAAAUACAAAUGUACAGUCUAAAUAAUCAGCAAAAAUAAAUUUGUGUUUCACUCUGGCUAACUACAUGACAAAACCAUGUCAAACUACUCUUUUAAAUCUACUUCCCAUUUGCCAAAUAAUAGUAAACAACUGUUAUCUUCGAAAAACACAGAUGUGAAGAGAAAAGAACUGGGAACAUUAAUUCCCAGUGUGUAGUGUAAGGAAUUCCUUCCAGAUUAGAUUUGACAUAUAUUAGAGUCUUUUGGCAUCAAAGGUUCAUAUAAUGAAAAAAAACAGAUGCUGACAAACCCAGUCCCUCGACUGGAAAGUUUAGACAUG